GAGAGAGACAGAGAGGUAGAGAGAGGUAGAGAGAGACAGAGAGGUAGAGAGAGACAGAGAGGUAGAGAGAGGUAGAGAGAGACAGAGAGGUAGAGAGAGGUAGAGAGAGACAGAGAGGUAGAGAGAGGUAGAGAGAGACAGAGAGGUAGAGAGAGGUAGAGAGAGACAGAGAGGUAGAGAGAGGUAGAGAGAGAGAGAGAGGUAGAGAGAGGUAGAGAGAGACAGAGAGGUAGAGAGAGACAGAGAGGUAGAGAGAGGGAGAGAGAGACAGAGAGGUAGAGAGAGGUAGAGAGAGGUAGAGAGAGGUAGAGAGAGGUAGAGAGAGACAGAGAGGUAGAGAGAGACAGAGAGGUAGAGAGAGGUAGAGAGAGACAGAGAGGUAGAGAGAGACAGAGAGGUAGAGAGAGACAGAUAGAGAGAGGUAAACCAUUCAUCACUAAAACCACUCUGAUUAAACAGAUGAUCUGAUCAGCUGACAGUAUGC